rnacentral:rRNA from 1 species
AUUGAACGCUGGCGGCAUGCCUUACACAUGCAAGUCGAACGGUAACAGGUCUUCGGAUGCUGACGAGUGGCGAACGGGUGAGUAAUACAUCGGAACGUGCCUAGUAGUGGGGGAUAACUACUCGAAAGAGUGGCUAAUACCGCAUGAGAUCUACGGAUGAAAGCAGGGGAUCGCAAGACCUUGUGCUACUGGAGCGGCCGAUGGCAGAUUAGGUAGUUGGUGGGAUAAAAGCUUACCAAGCCGACGAUCUGUAGCUGGUCUGAGAGGACGAUCAGCCACACUGGGACUGAGACACGGACCAGACUCCUACGGGAGGCAGCAGUGGGGAAUUUUGGACAAUGGGCGCAAGCCUGAUCCAGCAAUGCCGCGUGCAGGAUGAAGGCCUUCGGGUUGUAAACUGCUUUUGUACGGAACGAAAAGCCCUGGGUUAAUACCCUGGGGUCAUGACGGUACCGUAAGAAUAAGCACCGGCUAACUACGUGCCAGCAGCCGCCGUAACAC